rnacentral:rRNA from 1 species
CCCAUAAGACUGGGAUAACUCCGGGAAACCGGGGCUAAUACCGGAUAAUAUUUUGAACUGCAUGGUUCGAAAUUGAAAGGCGGCUUCGGCUGUCACUUAUGGAUGGACCCGCGUCGCAUUAGCUAGUUGGUGAGGUAACGGCUCACCAAGGCAACGAUGCGUAGCCGACCUGAGAGGGUGAUCGGCCACACUGGGACUGAGACACGGCCCAGACUCCUACGGGAGGCAGCAGUAGGGAAUCUUCCGCAAUGGACGAAAGUCUGACGGAGCAACGCCGCGUGAGUGAUGAAGGCUUUCGGGUCGUAAAACUCUGUUGUUAGGGAAGAACAAGUGCUAGUUGAAUAAGCUGGCACCUUGACGGUACCUAACCAGAAAGCCACGGCUAACUACGUGCCAGCAGCCGCGGUAAUACGUAGGUGGCAAGCGUUAUCCGGAAUUAUUGGGCGUAAAGCGCGCGCAGGUGGUUUCUUAAGUCUGAUGUGAAAGCCCACGGCUCAACCGUGGAGGGUCAUUGGAAACUGGGAGACUUGAGUGCAGAAGAGGAAAGUGGAAUUCCAUGUGUAGCGGUGAAAUGCGUAGAGAUAUGGAGGAACACCAGUGGCGAAGGCGACUUUCUGGUCUGUAACUGACA